ensembl:lncRNA
AAACAUCUGUGCUGUGUCUGCUCUCGAGGGAGGAUAAGAAAGACAGACGCAACAACGUUGUCAUCCCCUACGUAGCCGGUGUAUCAGAGAAACUCAGGAGAGUUUUCUCCAAGCACGACAUCCCAGUGUACUUCAGACCCAGCAACACACUCAGACAGAAACUGGUUCACCCGAAAGACAAAACUCCAAAACACAGACUGAACAACGUGGUGUAUGCUGUACAGUGCAGCGAGGAAUGCCCAGACCUCUACAUUGGAGAGACCAAACAGCCACUUCACAAGCGCAUGGCACAACAUAGAAGAGCCACCUCCACAGGACCAGACUCAGCAGUCCAUCUGCAUCUUAAGGAUAAAGGUCACUCUUUCGAGGAUGCCAAUGUUCACAUUUUGGACAGAGAGGACAGAUGGUUUGAAAGAGGAGUGAAAGAGGCCAUCUAUGUCCACUGUGAGCGACCAUCUUUGAACAGAGGCGGUGGUUUACGACACCAACCGUCUGCCAUCUAUAAUCCAGUUUUGAGUUCCCUCCCCAGACGCCUUAACGCCCACUCACAUCCUGGGCCAUCUGACCUCAGGAAUUCACAUGACAAGGUGGGGCCAGGUUUCACAAUGAGCUCACCCGAAACCCUGGCUGAUUAGGUCCCACACCCGCUUUCACACCUUGGCUCAUGUGAUUAGAGGAUCACCAGGGGGUCCUUUGUCCCUCUUUGGGGGGAAACUCCCACUGGGUUUAAAUCUGGGACUCUCGGCCAUUUGACCUUAGAACUGAAGAAGCUUCUCGGAUGAGAGGUGAAACGUCUUCAAGCAACUUAAAGAAGUCCAGACGCUUUUCUUUGCAAACUCCUUUGACUACGAUGACCUGGAUGACUGAGAACCUUCACAGACAAUAGGGCGUGAAGUUAUGGGCAAAAACCAUCUUCAAUAAGACAAGACUUGCUUAUGAUAUUCUGACAAAAACAUCAUCUUUAUAACAGAUUUACUUGAUGAGAAGGGGCAGUUUCUCCCAAUGGGUGUUUUCAAUGCCAAGUUUAACAUUCAGUGUCCCCUUAGAGAAUAUAACAAGGUUUGUAAUGCGAUCCCCUUACCUUUGUUAAGUUUGAUACAAGGCUAUUUAUAUUACUCUAAGGGGCAAAUUAGUUUACCUUCUUUACAGCUAAAUCACUUUCCUUUAACUAAUAAAAAGUGUAAUAAUAAAAUCAUAAACACAAUAUUUAAAAAUAUAUUAUUUCACGAUUUUAACAGUGACACAAAAUUAAAAGGGAGUAAUGUUAAAGUAACAAACAAAUAUACACAUUUUUUGAAAUGGCCUUCCCCCCAAAAAGUCAAAGAAAUGCAAUUUAAAAUAAUUAAUGGAUAUUACCCAGCAGCAGAAAUACUUAAAAAAAGGUUUGGGUUUGAGGUGGAGCCAUGUGGAUGUUGUUCACAAAAUGAAGAAAGUAUUGAUCAUUUAUUUUUUUCCUGUUCAGUAACGACUACCUUCUGGCAGGAUUUGGUAAACUGGUUGAGUGUAAGACUAGAUGGGAUGACCCCACUGACUCACUGAUGUUCCAUCUAAGGAACUUGUCAUGCUUCACAAUAUGGUAAUAAUUAUGGGCAAAUACCACACCCAUAAGUGUAAAUGGCAAAAUAAAAGACCUUCCCUAAGUGCGUUGAAGAUUGAAUUAAAGUCUUUUUUCUCAUCUUUAGAAUUACUGAAGGAUUCAUGUAAAGAUGCUGCUUUGAUAUGUGAAAAUGUGACCACGGACCCGGCUCUGGGGACUUGGGGUCCUUGGGCAGUGGGGACUAUGACUGUUGUUGUUGUUGUUAUUAUUAUUAUUAUUAUUAUUAUUAUUAUUAUUAUUUGGUGUGUUGUCUGCACUGCCCCUGUGCGCAUCUGUAUGUAGGCAGGUAUGUGUGUGUGUGUAUUGCCUUUCUUCUGUGGCCAAGUUACAGGCACCUUUAGCCCUGGGGCUGUGGCCUGACUUGAGGACUGGCCACACCCGAAGUCCUUGCCGCACACCUGCUCCUCAUCUGGGCUCAUCGGGGGAGCUAUUUAGAUGAGCGAUGGAGCUUCCACCGACGCUGGAUUAUUGCGUUUGACUACAC